ensembl:lncRNA novel transcript
AUCAACGCCCGAGUCUAUGGUGAUGAUAAUGUUUGUGCAAAGUGGAUGCCAAGUGACUGCACAAUCAAGGUUUCUGAGUAGUUGAAAUAGAUAAGUCUUGAGUCAAUCAGUACAUCUGUACCACAUUCAUGUGGCAAAUGCUGCUUUAUGGAGAUGUUUCUAAUACUGACCUACAAUAAUUCAGCCAAGAUCACGUUUCUACUGUCUUCAGGAAAUGAGAAAAAUGAAUCCAGGAAAUUUCCAUCUUUAACUAUACUCUGUAAAUGUGCUGUCCAAUACACAGAUAGCUACUGAGCACUGGAAUAUAGCUAGUCUGAAUGGAGAUGUUCUCUGCCCAGUUCUCCUCCUUCAGUGGAACCAGCUAUUGUUCCUUCCAAGGUUCUUGUGUAUUGCUUCAAAGGCACCCAGAGAAACUAUUUGGUGUAAGAAGAGAAUACAAUAUUAAGGCAUGAUGAAUACAAAGAAGAUUUCUAUUUUUAAGAGGGAGGUAUUGACUUUCAUCUGCAUCUUGAUUUAAUUUUUGUUCUGGAAAACAAAGGUCUCCAUAGGAAUUAGUAGUGAACCUCUAGAAAUACACUGGAUGAAGACCGCUAAGCCAGUGCUACUCAAAAUGUGAUUCAUAGCCUGAUACCUGCUUCUGAACUGAUACUGGAUCGCAAUAAGAAGGACGUGUUUGCUUCCCCUUCUGCCGUGACUGUAAGUUUCCUGAGGCCUCCCCAGCCCUGCAGAACUAGCCUUGGAAAGAAGAACCACGCAGAGAGACAACAUAUGUAACCUCAUGCUUUUUAUGUACAAGUGGUGGAAUUUUUCCAUUCUCCAUUUUCUUUCUUCUCUAUCUUCCUGUAUCUUUGUCACCAUGUUAAGGUAACAUCCAGCCACAUGCCCCAAAUCUUCAAUACGUUAUGCCAAUUCAGGGUGACUUAAAGAUGCUUUGUAAAUGCUCUUUUGCAAAAAAGUAUGAUUAAAGGAUUUCAGCGUAUUCUCUCACUGGGACAUCUUAUGUUAUUCUGAAAUGAAGAGUUUACUAAAAUUAUAUUUGAUCAUGAUGAAUCUUUUUAAAACCACUUAAGGAAACAGGAAGAAUUUCUUAUAUUCUGGAAAUUUUGUCUGUGAUAAUAAUUGUCAUGGAUUGUUGUCCUUAGAAUCAAGGGGGUUCAUCACAAAACAACUUUUUAUGGUAAUGAGGAAGCAGAUCAUUCAAGUUUGUUUUUCCUCCUCAAGAAUUCUUUGUAAAUGUGUUUGGAAAAGUUUGGUAGCCUUAUUUUCUAUAUUAAUUUUUGAAUAUUUAAAAUAAAUUGUUUCUAGGUUUGAAAAUUAUCACCUGCCUGAGGCAAAUAACUAACUAAACAAAGGAGUUCUAAUACUUGAAUUGUAAUUUCCCACAUAAUAUACGUAUUUUUGCUCAAUCUCUCUUG